GAGGGUAGAGCUCAGCAGUAGAGCGCAUGCUCAGCAUGCAUGAGGUCCUGGGUUCGAGCCCCAGUCCCUCCG
rnacentral:tRNA from 1 species